rnacentral:rRNA from 1 species
UACGUAGGGGGCUAGCGUUGUCCGGAAUCAUUGGGCGUAAAGCGCGUGUAGGCGGCCCGGUAAGUCCGCUGUGAAAGUCGGGGGCUCAACCCUCGAAAGCCGGUGGAUACUGUCGGGCUAGAGUGCGGGAGAGGCGAGUGGAAUUCCUGGUGUAGCGGUGAAAUGCGCAGAUAUCAGGUGGAACACCGAUUGCGAAGGCAGCUCGCUGGAACGUAACUGACGCUGAGACGCGAAAGCGUGGGGAGCAAACAGG